CCGCCGCCGCCGCCGCCGCCCCCCGCGGGCUGUCGCGGCACCGCCAAGCCCUCCCCCGCCGCCGGCCAAUGGGGCGCGCGUAUCCGCCCCGGGACCCGCCCCUUCCGCCCGGGCGGGCGCGCGGGCGGUUGACUGACGGGCGCCGGGAGGGCGGCGCGAAGCCGGGGGGCGACGGCGGGCGGCGAUGGCGGGCGGCCUCGGUCCGGGCCGGCCCGCUCUCUUUGUGAGCCCGCCUCCGGGCGCCCCCGCCCCGACGGCCCGAGAGAGCCUUCCAGAGCCUUCCAGAACCUUCACGCUCCUAGGGCGCCACGUGCUGCCGCGGUGCCCACGGCGGAGGCACUGAGCGCAGCCCGGGAGGCAGGUGACCAGCGGCCACGGCACGCUGGACAUGGGGGUCGCGGCCCCACGCCUGUACCGGGAGAUGUGGAACCGCCCCAUGCCACACGCGACCGUGACGCGUCCCAGGCCCCGGGCAGCACGUGGACGUCCAUCUCCCUGUCGCCCAGCAACUCUGAGACUGUUUACGUUUUCACCUCCAGGCAUGCGAUUUGGGAAGCAGAUGUGAUUAGUUAAGAUAAGGUCACGCUGGAGGAGGUGGCCCUGAACCGUCAUGAGAGAGAGAUGUGGACGCAGACACACAGGGAGAAGCCGCAUGUCCACGGAGAUGCAGACUGGAGUCACGGAGGGGCCCACGAGCCAAGGGACGCCGAGCAUUGCCAGCCGCCGGAGGAGGUGCAGAGGAUCGGCCCCCGCAGGCUUCGGAGAGAGGGCAGCCCUGUGACACCCUGAUGUUGGACUCUGGCCUCCGGAACUGGAGAACUGGGAGGGAAUAAAUUUCUGUUGUUUGAAGGCAUCCUGCGUGUGGUCAUUCGCUUUCCCAGCCCCGGGGAAUGCUCAGUGGCUCAGAGCAGACCUGGGUGCAGAGCUCUGGGAAGGCCACGGGGUCAGGGACACUGACCUGCUGCAUCGUUCGAGAGGCAGCCUCCGAAAUGCUGCCUCGGAGCUCACCCCGUGCGGGGAUCUCUCCAGUCAGGCUCUCCUGCAGAGGGAGACGCGGGCUCAGCAACCAAACAUAGCGUCUCUCCGACGAGGCCUGGCGCUCGGGGCCGAAACCAGACCUCGUGCACAGAAGGGGCCGCGUGAACUGAGCCAGGACUGUACUCAGCUGCUGGGCAGUUCCCCAGAGGUGAACAGAAUUCUGAUGCCGGGUCUACACCCCAGGGAACUGGAAGCAGAGAUUCCAGCAGGUACCCACAGCCCCGUGCGCACAGCCUCAGGGGUCACGCGGCCCGAAGGGGGAAGCCCCCCAGUGUCCACCCACAGAUGAGGGGUACACACGGCGCGGUCCGUCCCCACACGGGAACACGCUCCAGCCUCAGGAAGGAAGGGACCCCGGCACCUGCCACGACGUGGAGGGACCUUGGGGAUACCGGGCUCAGCGAGAGGAGCCAGACCCAGAAGGACACAUCCCGCAGGACCCCAGUCCCAGGACGUCCCCAGAGGAGUCCCGUCCACACAGACAGAGAGGAGAGGGUGGGAGCCGGGGCUGGGGCAG